UUGCGCAAACCUGCUCCCCAUCGUUACGCACACCUGGACUUCAUCAUCACCCUGAUUCCUCUCCCUUUGUUUAGCCCUCAGUAGCAUUAGUCUUCAGGCAGUAUCGGUUUGUUUGCAUUCAGCAUGCUACUCCUGUUUUGAUUACCGUCAUGGUCAUUAUUAUUAAACUCGCCUUCUGCACCUGCGUCCUAAUUGCGUAUACUUUAAACUCACGCACCCGUGAUUAGGCUAUCAGUGCGCUGGCCGCUGUGUCUGAGCUCAAAAUUUCACAGUUGGUCUGGAGAGAUUUGUCUCUAUCUGCGGAGACCCAGACUUCUGCAAGAGGAGAGUAGGAGAUGGACUGUCUGUAAGUGAGUGUUUUCCGUGCUUCGACAGGACUCUAAAGCUGUAUCCUCGCUCAGCACAUCUCCAUCACGAUGAACUACUGGAGACAGGACAGGGGGAGAGUGAGAGACAGGCGGGAUAGAUAUAGGGAGGUAGAGGGAGAAAGAUAGGGUGGCUAGAAAAAGCUCUUUAUUUACCUCUCUCAAAAUGUCAUUAAAAGCUCAACAAAAAAAAAAAGUCUGUUCCUUGAAGGGGAGCUUUGCUGCUUCCUAAUUGUCCACUGUAGCUGCAAAAUGUCCUGUCAGCAAGAUGUGUUGUCCAGAGCCAUUAUCAUUUCUUGGUCCUCUCUCUUUUCAUUUUUUUUCAAUACGUGGUCACAAAUGACAGGAAGGUCACAAAAGAUAUAUUUCUAUCUACUUAGCUGGGAAACUGUAAGCCACUCCUUAACAGCCCUUUGGAAGAGGCACUGGGCAACUCAAUUAUAAGCAUUGGUGAAAAUGCCACAGCACUGGUGUCUUUGCAUUAAAUUGAUUUGUUCAGACAAUGCCAUGUAUCAUCCAUGAAGGAGAAAUGUGUUGAAGAUGAGCUGACUCAAAAGAGUGCCUCUUUCGUGAACAAUCACUUUGUUUUUGUGAGUGACACAUUCCAAAGGAAAAUACAUUUUGUGCACAAAUUUGUUUGCAUUCUCUUUUAUCAAAAUAAACCAUCCACC